rnacentral:rRNA from 1 species
GUAUAAUACCCGAUAGGUCUCGAUUGCUGGAAUGCAUCGAGAUUUAAAGCUCCGGCGCCUAAGGAUGGGUCUGCGGCCUAUCAGGUAGUAGUGGGUGUAGCGUACCUACUAGCCUACGACGGGUACGGGUUGUGAGAGCAAGAGCCCGGAGAUGGAUUCUGAGACACGAAUCCAGGCCCUACGGGGUGCAGCAGGCGCGAAAACUUUACAAUGCUGGCAACAGCGAUAAGGGAACCUCGAGUGCCAGGUUACAAAUCUGGCUGUCGAGAUGCCUAAAAAGCAUUUCAUAGCAAGGGCCGGGCAAGACCGGUGCCAGCCGCCGCGGUAACACCGGCGGCUCGAGUGGUAACCGUUAUUAUUGGGUCUAAAGGGUCUGUAGCCGGCCGGAUAAGUCUCUUGAGAAAUCUGGCAGCUUAACUGUCAGGCUUUCAGGAGAUACUGUCUGGCUCGAGGCCGGGAGAGGUGAGAGGUACUUCAGGGGUAGGGGUGAAAUCUUGUAAUCCUUGAAGGACCACCAGUGGCGAAGGCGUCUCACCAGAACGGACCUGACGGCAAGGGACGAAAGCUAGGGGCACGAACCGGAUUAGAUACCCGGGUAGUCCUAGCCGUAAACGAUACUCGCUAGGUGUCGGCCACGGUGCGACCGUUGUCGGUGCCGUAGGGAAGCCGUGAAGCGAGCCACCUGGGAAGUACGGCCGCAAGGCUGAAACUUAAAGGAAUUGGCGGGGGAGCACCACAACGGGUGGAGCUUGCGGUUUAAUUGGAUUCAACGCCGGG